AGUGGCGGACAGGUGAGUAACGCGUGGGUAACCUACCUUAUACAGGGGGAUAACAGUGAGAAAUCAUUGCUAAUACCGCAUAAGACCCCAGUAUCGCAUGAUACAGAGGCAAAAGAUUAAUCAGUAUAAGAUGGACCCGCGUCCUAUUAGAUAGUUGGUGAGGUAAUGGCUCACCAAGUCGACGAUAGGUAGCCGAUCUGAGAGGAUGACCGGCCACAUUGGGACUGAGACACGGCCCAAACUCCUACGGGAGGCAGCAGUGGGGAAUAUUGGACAAUGGGGGCAACCCUGAUCCAGCGACGCCGCGUGAGUGAAGAAGUAUUUCGGUAUGUAAAGCUCUAUCAGCAGGGAAGAAAAUGACGGUACCUGACUAAGAAGCCCCGGCUAACUACGUGCCAGCAGCCGCGGUAAUACGUAGGGGGCAAGCGUUAUCCGGAUUUACUGGGUGUAAAGGGAGCGUAGACGGUUAUAUAAGUCUGAAGUGAAAACCCGGGGCUCAACCCUGGGACUGCUUUGGAAACUAUAUAACUAGAGUGUCGGAGAGGUAAGCGGAAUUCCUAGUGUAGCGGUGAAAUGCGUAGAUAUUAGGAGGAACACCAGCGGCGAAGGCGGCUUACUGGACGAUAACUGACGUUAAGGCUCGAAGGCGUGGGUAGCAAACAGGAUUAGAUACCCUGGUAGUCCACGCAGUAAACGAUGAAUACUAGGUGUCGGGAGGGUGAACCUUUCGGUGCCGUCGCAAACGCAGUAAGUAUUCCACCUGGGGAGUACGUUCGCAAGAAUGAAACUCAAAGGAAUUGACGGGGACCCGCACAAGCGGUGGAGCAUGUGGUUUAAUUCGAAGCAACGCGAAGAACCUUACCAAAUCUUGACAUACCGAUGCUAGACUAAGAAAUUAGUUGUUCCUUCGGGACAUUGGAUACAGGUGGUGCAUGGUUGUCGUCAGCUCGUGUCGUGAGAUGUUGGGUUAAGUCCCGCAACGAGCGCAACCCUUGUCCUUAGUAGCCAGCAGGUAGAGCUGGGCACUCUGGGGAGACUGCCAGGGAUAACCUGGAGGAAGGUGGGGACGACGUCAAAUCAUCAUGCCCCUUAUGAUUUGGGCUACACACGUGCUACAAUGGCGUAAACAAAGAGAAGCGAAACUGUGAAGUCAAGCAAAUCUCAAAAAUAACGUCUCAGUUCGGAUUGUAGUCUGUAACUCGACCCCAUGAAGUCGGAGUCGCUAGUAAUCGCAGAUCAGCAACGCUGCGGUGAAUACGUUCCCGGGCUUUGUACACACCGCCCGUCAAGUCAUGAAAGUCGGUAACACCCGAAGCCGGUGGCCUAACCAUUUGGAGGGAGCUGUCUAAGGUGGGACUGGUGAUUAGGACUAAGUCGUAACAAGGUAACC
rnacentral:rRNA from 1 species